CGUGAAGCAGCCCUUCAGGGUCAAGCUGAUUGACUUUGGUUUGGCCAAGUACAAGUCCAAAGCCAGGGCAGGAAAGCUAUGCCAAGGACUUGCAUAUAGAGCUCCAGAAAUCUUCCUGGGCCGGCAGUAUUCAGAGGCCAUCGACGUUUGGUCGUUAGGCUGCGUGAUGGCCAGGAUGAUGACUCAAGAUAGUCUCUUUGGAUCAGACUCAGAAUACUGGACACUCCGACGCAUGAUCCAUCUGCUGGAUCUGCCGCCGCAAUAUCUCAUCGAUGCUGGCCGGAGAUCACGAUUAUUUUUUGAGAGAAUGCC